GGUGGUCGGACAGCCGCGCCGCGGAAGGUAAAAUCAGACGGUGAGGAAAGUCCGGGCUUCAUGGAAACAAGGCACCGGAUAACGUCCGGCCGGAGUAAUCCGAGGGAAAGCGCCACAGAAAAUAUACCGCCGAAAUAUAUUUUCGGUAAGGUUGAAAUGGCGAGGUAAGAGCUCACCGCUGCAACAGCAAUGUCGCAGGCAUGGCAAGCCCUGCUUGAUGUAAGACCAAAUAAGGAGUAAUCAGAAUUUAUCUGACUGAGAGUUUCCACUCUGUCCAGAGGUAGGUCGCACGAACAAACCGGCAACGGUUUGGCUUAGAUGAAUGGCUGUCGCGACAAUCUUUAUCGCAAGAUAAAGCAAGUGUUGACACAAAACCCGGCUUAUAGACCGCC
rnacentral:RNase_P_RNA from 1 species